UAAAUUGAAUACGUUUAUUUCAUGCAAGAAAAAAACAUAAUGGUUAAUAUAUUGGGGAGCAUUUGUAAGUGUUAAACCAUUCAACAGGCGACACAACAACCAACGUCAUUCCAGAGAGGGAGCGGAGAGAAUGAUUAAUACUCAUACAGUGAGAUAUAUGAGCUGGUUUUUCAUAGCAUUUAGAUAAUGUAUGGAGUUGUUCGAUUAAUAUAUAGUUAAAGUCAGUACACGUUCAGUGAAGAAUGACAAGCCUAAUUAAUUUGGCGGUACAAACCGCCCAAUCAGGCAGCGCCACCUGCCCGUCCGCCAUGUUCUGACCUCAGCUAAUCACUGACCAACUGAGAACAACUGAAGCGAAGCCGAUAUGGAACGUAAACUGUGAUUCUGAAAAAAGUAUAAAGGCCUGCAGCAGGCGACCAACGCAGGAACCCAGAACGAGAAAACAUCUUCAUCAGUAUUUGGCGAGUAGGCUACUACGGUUCACUGGUGUGUUCCUUUUAUGCACCCCCUUGUUAAGCCAAGGGGGUAUAUAGAUAUAAAUAUACAUCUAUUUUAAUUGGCGCAUUAGAAAAUGUCCGUUAAAAAGAAACAGUUAACAUUAUGGUAGGCCUACUCUAUAUAUAUUUUUUCUAAAGUUUGGAUGUUGAGAUUUCAGUUGUAUCAUCGGACUAAACCCAGCAUGUAGGAAGCGGUGAACUUGGGCCUUUGGGGGCUCCAGGCGAACAGUAACCGGUCUGAUGUACCUAAUAUGGCAUAAUGAGAUACACCAUACAAGGGAUGGGCAAAAGUCACUAUCAUUCUUUCAUGCAAAUGUUAAUUAUUUAUUUACCUUAGGUUUCCAGUAGGGAUGCACCGAAAUGAAAAUUCUUGGCCGAAACCGAAAACCGAAUAUGAGGAAACCAAGGCCGAAAACAGAAAACCGAAACACCGAAAUUAUGACAAUUAUUAGUACCAUUUAGGGUUGCCGCGGUAUAAGGUAUUAGGUUAAAAAGGCUAAAAGUUCGGCAGUUUGUCUUUGCACUGUUUUAUUUUUGAUGUGUUUUUUCAUUAAAAAAAAAAUAUAUAUACAAACUUAAUAGAUAGGCUACCUAAUAAGUUGGAACACGCAAGACCGGUAACCAUAGCAACGCCGGUAAACAAACCCCGCGAAGCCCAAUCCCUACGAGAGCUCCCCGCGCUACGGCCAUCCGGAGGCGCACAGAGCUUUAGGCCGUGAUAUUAUGUAUAAAAUUAUAUUAUACUAUUAUAUAUAGAACGUUACAAGACGCUGUCAACGAGAAUUGGUGCGCUGCCAGACGCUGUCACCGACUGUGAGAGGAGAGUUGACGGAGAAGAUGGCGGUUUACCUAGUUUCAAAGUUUAUACCGUUUAUACUGGAUAAUACAACCCUAGUACCAUUGCUUUUAUGGCUAUGACUGUGUACUAACUUCAUUAAAAUCAAGGCAUUGCAAUUUUUGCAAAUCGCUAUACGUGGGUCUUUCUCAGAAACAUUGAAAAACGUCCACACCACAGACAUAUUGGCGCUUAUCCAGACAAGCGUGUGCUGGCUGCGUUUUUUGUUUGCGUCAACACAAAUUUCUGUUUCGGUGAUAAAAGCAUUUCGGCCGAAAACCGAAAAUGCGCUUUUGGGCCAUUUUCGGCCGAAAAUUCGGUGCAUCCCUAGUUUCCAGUAGAUCACAGCAGGGGGUUGGGACAGGGGGUUGGGACAGGGCAUUGUGGUCUAAUUGUGUCACCUGCAAAGUAAGCAUAGCAUACAAAACAAAAAGAUUAGUUAUGGUGACUCAUAUUACACUGACUGUUAACCUAAGAUGUCAUAAUUUACCUUAGGUAUCCAGUAGGUCACAGCAGGGCGUUGGACAGGGCAUUGUGGUCUAUUUUGUGUCACCUGCAAAAAUAAAAAAGAAUACAAAACAAUAAGAUCAAUUAUGCAUAGGGGACAUAUACAGUAUUACACUGACUGUUAACCUAUGAUGUCGUCAUUUACCUCUUCAGUCCAACUGUUUCUUAGCCUCUCCUGUCCCUGAGCUUGUUUUUUCUCAUCUUUCUCUCUCCGUCUGUUUGUCCUCAUGUGUUCUCUCUCUUUCUCACUCACUCACUCACUCACUCACUGUCACUCACUCAAAACCUGGCAAACGAUGUAGACGGCUGCACUUGUUCCGCCGACAGUCCCGCUGCCACCGCAGUGCCUUUUUACAGAAGCUCAUAGCAUUGACAUGAGUAAAAAUAUCACUUUAUCUCAUAAUGCAAUAUAUAGGCAAAAUGUUAACUGUAGCAAGUAGCAGCCCACGUUGGCAAGUCUCCUACUACUACAGCAUCAGAGCGAGGAAAAUUGUAGACGCUCCCUAAAACAGACGUGCAGCCGGAACGUAGAUAAAAGUGCUGUUCUCGCACAGGUGUCGAUAGGACUAAAUGUCUGUGUAAUUCUUGGUCAAUGCGGUGUCCUAUACUGUACUCCACAAACUACACCCGUAAUGAAUUACAAUUGUGUUGAUCAAUCCGAUUGCAAAACCGAAUAUCCGGCGAAUAUCCAACCUGCUGCUCACCAGCUCAGAGAGCCAGAAGUGGUCGCAUGCUGACACCUAAUGGUGGCUUUUUGAACAUCACUCUAAAAAUGUAAAAACUUUGAACAAUCAAAAAGCUAGUGUUAGGGGUCAGCAUGGGACCUCUCUUCUGGCCAAUACUUCUCAGUAAUCAAAUUACAGUUGACCCAAUUAUGUAUUUUUUAUGUUUUUAUAUGUUUGAUUUUUAUCAUGUGUAGAAUUAGAUCCCAGUAUUAGUCACUCUAUAGCUGUAUGUGUUCUUGUUUGGCGAUACAGUGGUCUGACUUGUAUUCAGGGUUAGACUGACUCUAUCCCUAAACAGGCUGUGGUCUAUGGAGUUUGAAUGGUUCCUUCUCAGCCCUAGACCAGCGCCACCUCUUCCACCAACACCGGGUUGGAGCCGCGGUCUGCGCUGAGGAACGGUCCUCUGGUGGACGGCGGCCGCGGCACCAGGAAGCAAUAGAGAUGUCUUUCGCCAAGAUAAGGAUUACGCCGUCGCAGCAGUCGGUCCUGCGGGCCUCCGAUGCAGCCGCAGCCUUCACCGCCGCCAUGGGGCCACGCGGGCCCCAGGCUCCCGCCAGCGCCAAGAGGCCGGAGGAGGUGGAGAAGGAGGCCCGAGUUGUUUGCUGUAUAUAUUUAUCAUUUUGCAGGGCUAGUUUAUAUAGUUUUUUUUUUGUUGUUCAGUGCAUACACACAGCCAAU
ensembl:lncRNA